rnacentral:tRNA from 1 species
AUAAAGUAAGCUAAGUAUUAAAGCUAGUGGGUUCAUACCCCAAAAAUGAAUAUUUCCUUUAUUA